CACAGGUAAGGGUGAAAAGGUGCGGUAAGAGCGCACCGCGCCGCUGGUAACAGCGGUGGCAGGGUAAACCCCACCCGGAGCAAGACCAAAUAGGGGAGCAUUGGCGUGGCCCGCGUUGCUCCCGGGUAGGUCGCUCGAGCGUCGCAGUGAUGCGGCGCCCAGAUGAAUGACUGUUCUCGACAGAACCCGGCUUACAGGCCGACUUCCUCU
rnacentral:RNase_P_RNA from 1 species